UACGUAGGGUGCGAGCGUUGUCCGGAAUUAUUGGGCGUAAAGAGCUCGUAGGCGGUUUGUCACGUCUGCUGUGAAAUCCCGAGGCUCAACCUCGGGCCUGCAGUGGGUACGGGCAGACUGGAGUGCGGUAGGGGAGAAUGGAAUUCCUGGUGUAGCGGUGGAAUGCGCAGAUAUCAGGAGGAACACCGGUGGCGAAGGCGGGUCUCUGGGCAGUAACUGACGCUGAGGAGCGAAAGCGUGGGGAGCGAACAGG
rnacentral:rRNA from 1 species